rnacentral:rRNA from 1 species
CAGUCGCCACGGGAAUACGUAGGUGGCAAGCGUUAUCCGGAAUUAUUGGGCGUAAAGCGCGCGUAGGCGGUUUUUUAAGUCUGAUGUGAAAGCCCACGGCUCAACCGUGGAGGGUCAUUGGAAACUGGAAAACUUGAGUGCAGAAGAGGAAAGUGGAAUUCCAUGUGUAGCGGUGAAAUGCGCAGAGAUAUGGAGGAACACCAGUGGCGAAGGCGACUUUCUGGUCUGUAACUGACGCUGAUGUGCGAAAGCGUGGGGAUCAAACAGGAUUAGAUACCCGUGUAGUCCCUGUCUCUUAUAC